CAGCUUCUACCAGUUUGAUUGUAUUUUAAUAACGAAAACAAUCAUCUACAAAGCGAUCGAAUACCUACUGACGUACAUAUAUUAUAAUAUACAUUAUAUGUAUAAUGAUAAAUAAAAAUCCCACUCUCACUUCAAACGAGAAUAGGUAUUAUCUAUCUUUAAAUCAAAUUCUAUACGGUUUAAUUAUACAGCUAUAAUAUCAUCGAUGUGCGUUAUUAUAUUGUGUUCGUGUUCGUGAACGUUCUACUCGAUUUGGUUGCAGUGGUUACACGUAAACGUAUUUUUUAAUAGUUAUGAAAUUGUAUUAUCGAGUAUAAGGACAUAAUUUUUGAAAACCAUUUCAUACAGUGAGAAUGUUUUUUUUUAAUUUUUCAUUAAGAGUUCCGAUUUAUGCGCCAGCCGACAAAAAAACGGUCUAAUAUAUCCAUGACUUUAAAUUGAAAACAUAAAUUAUACAUUUUCGUUUAACAUCUUUUGCCCGAACUAACUCCGGAAGAAAUUAUUUUUUUGGAAUUUAAUUCAAGAACAUUUGACUAUUUGUUGGCUAAAUUAUUUAUUCAACGAAUAAUAUAAAAAUGCAAGACAAUGUAAUGUUUCAUUCGUCUCCAAUAUCAGGCCGAAACAGCAUGGUUUUUCCGAGAUGCGUAAUUAAGAUCAACACUUGCUGCUGUGAUCCACCAAAGAAUAAAUUGAUUUUACCACCUCAUUAUUACGCAGAUGGUUUGAAACAGCAUAUGAUUGAGACGCGAGUGAAAAAGAAGAUUGGCACCAGAGGACCUUAUGACACGUUUACAGGUAUUCAUUUAACAGUACACAAAAGAGAAGCGGCUGUACACCUUUUCAAAAUAAAAAGUUUUACCCGGGACCGAACCGCUACAAAGCACCUACUUUAAAACCAAAAACCGUAAAUGGACACACAAGCGUAUUCAAAAGUACUACGGCGCAAAGGUUAAAUGUAGAACACCCUGGAUGUGGCGGCGUAUUUGAAAAAAAAUCCAAAUAUCUAUUAUUAUCAAUAUUAUCUUUAUAAAGAUUUUAAGAGGACGUUCUACCAAAAAGUGUUGUCUCUGUCUUACUAAUGUAGAUCAUAGCUAAUUUUCGUUCAACAGAACACAUUUUGUGAUUUUAGGAUUAAUAUUAGAGUAAAUUUACCUAUUAUCAAAUUUAAAAGUAAGAAUUUAUCUAGAAAUUUGCAUAUGCUUUUAUUGAUAUUAUAAUUUUAAAGUGAGUUAUGAAUAUUUUAAAGUUGUAAUAUUUUACAUAGCUAUAACUCACUUUAAAAUGAUAAUAUCAAUAUAUAGGCAACUUUCUAGAUAAUAUUCUUACCUUUAAAUUUGAUAAUAGGUAAAUUUACUCUAAUAUUAAUCCUAAAAUCACAAAAUGUGUUCUGCUGAACGAAAAUUAGCUAUGAUCUACAUUAGUAAGACAGAGACAACACAUGCGGGUACGCCCGUUAGAACGUCCAUUUAAUCUAACUUUUUUGUUAUACCUACAAUGUAAAGACGUACGUGAACUUGGCACUACAAACUAAAACCAUUCCAACAAACUCUUCUCGGACUUGUUAUACGUUGUUGGACAAUUGUUGGAAUUUAAAAAUAAAAUAAAUAAAAUAUUAAAAUAAAAAUGUGUAAAGGUCUCAUAUAUAUCAUCUAAGAUAAACUAGCCUAAAUAAGCAUAAUCAUAUUACAUUUUUGUAAAAAAACGCAAAAAUAAUAAAUAAUAAAAAUGGUUCAAUAAUUAUCAUUUAUAAAAACAAGCCUAUAUAAAAAAAAAAAUUUUAAAAUAAAACAUAUGCAAAACACUAUAAUAUCAUAAAUCAUAAAAAAUAAAAAUUAUUUGAAGUAAAAAAAAACAUAAACUCAGCAAAAAUAAGCAAAAAGAAAAACAACAAAUACGACAACAUAAUAUGAUAAAUAAUCGUAUAAUGAUAAAUGAAUAAUAAAUACUAUAAUGUUUAUGAAAAUCAAAAAAAAUUAUACUCCUAAUAAAAGUACAAAAAGGUAAAAAAAAAAAGAAGAAAUUUAGUUUUAACCUAAUAAAA